rnacentral:rRNA from 1 species
GAUGAACGCUGGCGGCGUGCCUAAUACAUGCAAGUCGAGCGAACGGACGAGAAGCUUGCUUCUCUGAUGUUAGCGGCGGACGGGUGAGUAACACGUGGAUAACCUACCUAUAAGACUGGGAUAACUUCGGGAAACCGGAUCUAAUACCGGAUAAUAUUUUGAACCGCAUGGUUCAAAAGUGAAAGCCGGUCUUGCUGUCACUUAUAGAUGGAUCCGCGCUGCAUUAGCUAGUUGGUAAGGUAACGGCUUACCAAGGCAACGAUGCAUAGCCGACCUGAGAGGGUGAUCGGCCACACUGGAACUGAGACACGGUCCAGACUCCUACGGGAGGCAGCAGUAGGGAAUCUUCCGCAAUGGGCGAAAGCCUGACGGAGCAACGCCGCGUGAGUGAUGAAGGUCUUCGGAUCGUAAAACUCUGUUAUUAGGGAAGAACAUAUGUGUAAGUAACUGUGCACAUCUUGACGGUACCUAAUCAGAAAGCCACGGCUAACUACGUG